rnacentral:rRNA from 1 species
GUAGGGAAUAUUGCACAAUGGAGGAAACUCUGAUGCAGCGACGCCGCGUGAGUGAUGAAGGCCUUCGGGUCGUAAAACUCUGUGAUAAGGGAAGAUGAUGACGGUACCUUAUCAGAAAAGACCGGCUAACUUCGUGCCAGCAGCCGCGGUAAUACGAGGGGUCUAAGCGUUGUUCGGAAUCACUGGGCGUAAAGCGGGUGUAGGUGGCUAUGCAAGUUGGAUGUGAAAGCCCCGGGCUCAACCCGGGAAGUGCAUCCAAAACUACGUAGCUUGAGUGCGGGAGAGAAAGGCAGAAUUCCUGGUGUAGUGGUGAAAUACGUAGAUAUCAGGAGGAACUCCGGUGGCGAAGGCGGCCUUUUGGCCCAGCACUGACACUCAGACCCGAAAGCGUGGGUAGCAAACAGGAUUAGAUACCCUGGUAGUCC